rnacentral:rRNA from 1 species
UAGGGAAUCUUCCACAAUGGACGCAAGUCUGAUGGAGCAACGCCGCGUGAGUGAAGAAGGUUUUCGGAUCGUAAAGCUCUGUUGUUGGUGAAGAAGGAUAGAGGCAGUAACUGGUCUUUAUUUGACGGUAAUCAACCAGAAAGUCACGGCUAACUACGUGCCAGCAGCCGCGGUAAUACGUAGGUGGCAAGCGUUGUCCGGAUUUAUUGGGCGUAAAGCGAGCGCAGGCGGAAUGAUAAGUCUGAUGUGAAAGCCCACUGCUUAACCGUGGAACUGCAUCGGAAACUGUCAUUCUUGAGUGCAGAAGAGGAGAGUGGAAUUCCAUGUGUAGCGGUGGAAUGCGUAGAUAUAUGGAAGAACACCAGUGGCGAAGGCGGCUCUCUGGUCUGCAACUGACGCUGAGGCUCGAAAGCAUGGGUAGCGAACAGG